CCUACGGGAGGCAGCAGUAGGGAAUCUUUCACAAUGGGCGAAAGCCUGAUGGAGCAACGCCGCGUGCAGGAUGAAGGCCUUCGGGUUGUAAACUGCUUUUAUAAGCGAGAAAUAUGAUGGUAACUUAUGAAUAAGGAUCGGCUAACUACGUGCCAGCAGCCGCGGUCAUACGUAGGAUCCGAGCAUUAUCCGGAGUGACUGGGUGUAAAGAGUUGCGUAGGUGGCAUAAUAAGUAGCUAGUGAAAUCUGGUGGCUCAACCAUUCAGACUAUUAGCGAAACUGUUAAGCUCGAGACCGUUAGGGGUAACUGGAAUUUCUAGUGUAGGAGUGAAAUCCGUAGAUAUUAGAAGGAACACCAAUAGCGUAGGCAGGUUGCUGGGACGGUUCUGACACUAAGGCACGAAAGCGUAGGGAGCAAACGGGAUUAGAUACCCGAGUAGUC
rnacentral:rRNA from 1 species